GAAUUACUGGGCGUAAAGCGUGCGCAGGCGGUUUUGUAAGUCUGACGUGAAAUCCCCGGGCUCAACCUGGGAAUUGCGUUGGAGACUGCAAGGCUAGAAUCUGGCAGAGGGGGGUAGAAUUCCACGUGUAGCAGUGAAAUGCGUAGAGAUGUGGAGGAACACCGAUGGCGAAGGCAGCCCCCUGGGUCAAGAUUGACGCUCAUGCACGAAAGCGUGGGGAGCAAACAGGAUUAGAUACCCUGGUAGUCCACGCCCUAAACGAUGUCUACUAGUUGUCGGGUUUUAAUUAACUUGGUAACGCAGCUAACGCGUGAAGUAGACCGCCUGGGGAGUACGGUCGCAAGACUAAAAC
rnacentral:rRNA from 1 species